rnacentral:rRNA from 1 species
AGUGAACGCUGGCGGUAGGCCUAACACAUGCAAGUCGAACGGCAGCACAGUAAGAGCUUGCUCUUACGGGUGGCGAGUGGCGGACGGGUGAGGAAUACAUCGGAAUCUACUUUUUCGGGGGGGAUAACGUAGGUAAACUUACGCUAAUACCGCAGACGACCUACGGGUGAAAGCAGGGGAUCUUCUGACCUUGCGCGAUUGAAUGAGCCGAUGUCGGGUUAGCUAGUUGGCGGGGUAAAGGCCCACCAAGGCGACGAUCCGUAGCUGGUCUGAGGGGAUGAUCAGCCACACUGGAACUGAGACACGGUCCAGACUCCUACGGGAGGCAGCAGUGGGGAAUAUUGGACAAUGGGCGCAAGCCUGAUCCAGCCAUACCGCGUGGGUGAAGAAGGCCUUCGGGUUGUAAAGCCCUUUUGUUGGGAAAGAAAAGCAGCAGGUUAAUACCCCGCUGUUCUGACGGUACCCAAAGAAUAAGCACCGGCUAACUUCGUG